CUGGGAUGGGUCAUCAGUCCCUUGUGUAGAGCUUCAGCUUGUAGCAAAGUCCCUCCAGAGAACUCAGCAGAAUUCCCCAGGCUUGGUCACCAUGUGGCACAGCUGGCUCUGUUCAUCAGUGACCCAGGCAAGGACCUCAGCCGGAAGGCCAGGGAGGGGGUUUACUGGCUCUGCCAGCUGCUGCUGCACCGGAGGGGCUGACCAUCCAGGAGGCCGAAGAGCUGUGGUGCUGGGACAGCAGGCUCCUGGGCUACAGGAACACAGCCAGGGUAGGGGAGGUCUUUGGCAAGUUCUUCUUGGAGAGGCAGAGAAGAUUUUUCCUCCGGACGGAGGGCAGUGCUGGCCAUCCACGACCCCCUGCUGCGUGUCAGCCAGGCUGGGCUGCUCCUCACCUACAGCCUCCUGGGGGAAGCCCAGCAGCUGAUGGCGGACAAGAAAACGGACGCCCCUGUUUAGAAGGUAAGAGCCUCCGAGAGGUUUGGAAGCUGCUCAGUCUGAUGCAUCUGGUGCCAGCUGAAUUCUAGCUCCCUGACACCUGCCCUUGAGCCAGAGCUAGAGACCCACCUCCUUCGAGCUGCUGUCUUUACCCUGGGCACUCAGAAGGACACCACCCAAGUCCAG